AGCUUUGCGCAGUGGCAGUAUCGUAGCCAAUGAGGUUUAUCCGAGGCGCGAUUAUUGCUAAUUGAAAUUGCCACAUCCUUCAUUCACCUCCUAGCUCUGGCCUGGAAAGCAGUGAGUGCAGUACGCA
rnacentral:snRNA from 1 species